AGGAAUGUCAGGAGGGGUUAGCCGUCGUACGCAGCAAAGGUAACCUCCACAUCACUGCUUCGCACCUUCAUGGAAAUUAAGCUCCGAUGAAUCCAGAGACGUGCUGAAAUCCUGGCGUCAAGAGCUUGUGGAGGAUAAUUGCAAUCAUCAUCGUAAUGAGCGUGGAGAACAAAUGCCUGGAUUAUGUUCCCUGACUUAAGACCACACCGCAUUCAGAAAGAUCAGUUCAUCACUAGUGGAUCUGGUAAUUUCCUAGGAGGCUCCCGACUGACGUCUGUGCUGGCUCUGCGGACCACGAUUUGAGGAGGUAGCAGGCUGUAGUUUGGGCCAUCUCUGGAUCUUCCCCACACCCAUCAUCGGUGACCAAACCACU